GAAGCUGCAGAUCGAGCACGAAGCAGAGUUCCUAGGGCCGUAUCACGUUGAGUGUGAACGGAUUCGGGGGGCAAAUGCAGUUGCACAGAGAGCAUGGGA
rnacentral:snRNA from 1 species